AACCUGAUCUGAAACCGACCCGAAAUUAGCGGGUUUGAGUUUAGAUUUUUGACCCAAUUAAUUAAAUGGGUCAACCCGACCUGAUCUGUUUAUUAAAUGGGUUAGGUUCAGGUUGAAUAUUUAAACCCAAAAAAAACCUGUUUAACCCAUUUAUUAAAUGGGUCAAUCAGGUCAGGUCGACCCACAUUUAACCCAUUUAAUAACCCAUUGAAAUUUUUUUAAAUAAAGAGUAAAGAGUAAAGACAAAGACUGAAAGCAAAGACAUAAACCGGUAAAGCCUAAACAUUUGCCAAUUUGCACCUCCACUUGUUCUGUUCGUCACUUCCUCUUCUCCUUCCUCUUCUCUCUUUUGUGCGAUUCUGCGACCUACCGCCGGCUGCCUACACCUUCAGACCUUCUCCUUCCUCUUCUCUCCGGCAGCUUCUUCUCUUCUCCUUCAUCUUCUCUGCGGCACCAAGUCUCCUGCUUGCUGCUUCUCUGUGCGACUUCGGAGUGCGUCUUCUCCUUCCUCUUCUCUGUGGCGGCACCAAGAUUUUUCAGUUCAAUCUUCCUGAUCUUCAAUUCAAGCUUGUAUUGUGUUCGAUUUUCAACUCCAUUAAUGGAUGAAAGUAUGUUAUACUGUGUUCCAUUAAUGGAUGAAGCUUGUAAUGUUUUACAGUGUUAGCCAUAAAUUAGUUUUUAUAUUGUAAUUUUGUAAUAUUGUAAUUUUUGGGUCAAAUGGGUCAAAUGACCUGAAAUAUAUGGGUUCAAUGACCUGAAAAAAAAAGCAGGUUAAAUGGGUCAUUAGCAGGUUGACCCGACCUGCAACAGAUCAGGUCGGGGUUUCAAUUUUUGACCCAUUUAAUUAAAUGGGUCAGGUUCAGGUCAAGGGUCUAUUGACCCAUUUAUAUAUGACCCGAACCUAAAAACGACCCAACUCGACCUGUUUGACACCUCUAUUACCAAAUUGUACAAUUCAAAUAAAAAAAAGCUCAUAUUAUAUAUGGGUGGUAAACUGCUUGAACCAAAUCUAAUCCGUUCAUUUAUUUGACUCAAAAUUUAUAAUUCUGACUUGAUUUGUAUUCUAUCUGGUCAGCCUGAUUUCGAUUCACUUAAUUUAUUAGAGUUUUUUGUUUCGAUUUUAAGGUUUUUAAUCCUUAAUUUUAGACUUUUAGUUUAUGAGUUAUUUAUUUUGCAUUUACUAUGAAUAAUAGGAUAAUAUUAAAUGAAUUAAGUUCAGAUUAUACUUAUGAUUGAUUUGACUCGUUUAACUAAAUUGGUAUAGAUGUUUAGUUCAACUUUAAUAUUUUAAGCUUAACCUAACUCAUUCAUUAAACUAAUCAUGUCGGAUCGAUCUAAUUAAUUAAUUGGGUUAAAAAUAUCAACCAAAUUUCAUUUAUUUUGGGUUAGGUUCAGAUCGGGUUAACAUUUAGGUCAACCUAAGCUACACUGAUAGUCUAAUAGUAGCUUUUUGAUUGACUUUUGACUUUUAGCAUAUUUUUGCUCUAAUAACAACCAACAACGAACAAAUAAUUUAAAUGAAAUAUUUCCUUAAUAGCUAGCUUAAACAGUUGUCUUAUCAAUUAAUAUUUCCAACUGAUCAAACCAGUAAAUAACUUCAGCCAAUAGACAUUUUCCAAAGAUAACCUACAACCAAGAAAACCUAAUUCUUCCUUGGGGUUUAGGUGAAGGUUAAUACUUACGGAGUACAAUAUAUAUAAGAUUGUUUCUGUCAUUAGUCCAAAUCUGUCCAAUAUCACUUAAACCGAAAUGUGCUAAACUAAACCUAAGAAACAAUAAGACUAUUCUGAUUUUGUUAUAGAAGAAAUCCAAUAAAAAUGUAAGAUUGUACAAAUAUUCUUUUCCAUUAACAACACCAAUAUAUUGCUUAAAUUUUAUAGAGAAUUUAUAAACUUAAUAUAUUCUGAAUUUAUGUGCAAACUAAAAUCGUAGUAAAAUUGUCGUA